rnacentral:rRNA from 1 species
UGAGGAAUAUUGGUCAAUGGGCGGGAGCCUGAACCAGCCAAGUCGCGUGAAGGAAGAAGGAUCUAUGGUUCGUAAACUUCUUUUGCAGGGGAAUAAAGUGCAGGACGUGUCCUGUUUUGUAUGUACCCUGAGAAUAAGGAUCGGCUAACUCCGUGCCAGCAGCCGCGGUAAUACGGAGGAUCCGAGCGUUAUCCGGAUUUAUUGGGUUUAAAGGGUGCGUAGGUGGUUUGAUAAGUCAGCGGUGAAAGUUUGCAGCUUAACUGUAAAAAUGCCGUUGAAACUGUCGGACUUGAGUGUAAAUGAGGUAGGCGGAAUGCGUGGUGUAGCGGUGAAAUGCAUAGAUAUCACGCAGAACUCCGAUUUCGAAGGCAGCUUACUAAGCUACAACUGACACUGAAGCACGAAAGCGUGGGGAUCAAACA